UCACGUAAUCUGGUUGUUUGAAAGUGUGUAGAGCUUCCGCCUUCUCUUUCUCUCUCCUGCUGCCAAUGUGAAGACACGCUUGCUCCUCCUUUGCCCUUCCGCCAUGAUUGCAAUAGAAGUGCUAGAGCAUGGAAACCUGCAGACACCUGCAGGAAGCGGACUUGCUGGCAUUAUAACCAUUCUCUGGAGUGGUUGCAAGAAACGAUUGACGAGAACUGGAAUCCGAUCCACUGGCCAAAGUAGAAGUGGCCAUGUGAUCAUUCUGGCCAAUGAAACAAAAGUGGAAGUUUCUGGGAGAGACUUCAAGGAAAACUCUUUAAAAGAGACUCAAUUCCAUUGGUAAACAACUUUUGUUCUUCUACUUCUUCCUACUUAAUAUGCUGGUUUUAGAGAAUCCAACUUGUGACCAUAAGGCAACAGCCAUGCAUAUGAGUGCUGCACCAUGGACCUCUGAACAGAAAGUUGGAGGGAGUCUGCCUGCAUCACUGAUGGUAUUACAGAGUCCCCGAUACCAGUUCUAAGCAGCUUAGCUCUGAGCUCCUUGUUUCACAAAACUAAUACCAUUGAUUCAGUGCAUUCCUUAAUGAUAAAAGUACAAAUUAUGAUUAUUAGCUGAAGUUUGCUGUUUGUAGAUGUUGUCAAAGGCUCUUAAAAAUGGUCCAUUUCUCUGCCUGUGUUUGUACCAGCACCAUGCUGGUUAGGUUACUGUAGCCUUGUAGUACCGUUUGAAGUCAGGAAAAGUGAUGCCUCCAGUUUUAUUCUUUUUGCUUAGGUUGCCUUGACUAUUU
rnacentral:lncRNA from 10 species